AGAUCCGUGUCCGAGGGUUCUGGCCCGGGCGCAUGUCAGAGGAGAGUAGCCCAAUUCAGGGUCCUGUAAGAAAACUGAACCGGAUCCCCGCCGGAGAAGAAAAUCCAGUUCGGGGGUUCCUGUUUGAGGGGAGAGGUCAGGUCUCUGGGUCCCCGAGUGAAGAAACAAGCUAGGUCGACAUUCUUGUCUGAUGGAGACACGGUGAACCCGGAGCCCGUGGAGUUACCUCAUACCCUCACUCACCGAGGAGGCCGUGACGUCCAAAGGCUUUUUCCUACGGUCCAUGGUCGUGGCAGAGGGUCCCGGUCCAGGAAGGACCCUUUCUACCCGACACAGGCCUCGUAAGCCUACCUCCGUCGCAACCGGAAGUGUCUUCGACAGCGACACUGAGUUUGCGUGAGUUUGCGACGCGAGUUUGUCAGCUCAGCGCCAUCUUGAGAAGGUCAGAGUGUGCUCUUAAGAACGUGAACUCCUGGGCCGGGCGCGGUGGCUCACGCCUGUAAUCCCAGCACUUUGGGAGGCUGAGGCGGGUGGAUCAGGAGGUCAGGAGUUUGAGACCAGCCUGACCAACAUGGUGAAACCCCGUCUCUGCUGAAAAUACAAGAAAAAAAAAAAAUUAGCCGAGCGUGGUGGUGCGCGCCUGUAUUCCCAGCUACUCAGGAGGCUGAGGCAGAAGAAUCGCUUGAACCUGGGAGGUGGAGGUUGCAGUGAGUCGAGAUCAAAAAAAAAAAAAACAAAGAACACGUGAACUCGAAAGCUGACUUUCUGGGUUGGAAUCGCUCUUCACGGCUUACUGCUUGUGUGACCUUGGGCAAGUUACUUAACUUCCGUGUGCCUCAGUUUCCAAAGGGGGAUAUAAUUUUAUUUACCUAAUGGGUCUUAGUGAGGAUUAGAUGAGUUAAAUGAGCUAGUCUUGAUAAAAAUGUUAAUGAUUAUGGUAGACAGACCAAUCACCCUCACCCCGACUCCCAGAUGUCUACCUUCUAAUCCCCAGAAUCUGGGUAUAUGGUGACCUUUAUAUAGCAAAAGAGAAUUGGCAGAGAUGAUGAAAUUAAAGCGAUUGAGAUGGGGAGCUAGCCUGGAUUGUGCAGGUGGGUCCCCUAUCAUCAAAACCAUCCUUAUAAGGGGUAGACAGGAUGGCCAGAGUCAGACAGAGAUCAGAGAUGCUUUGAAGAGGGAGAGUGGGACCACAUGCCUAGGUAUGCAGGAGGCCGCUAGAAAAAGCAAAGAAAUGAGCCCUCCUCCAGAGUCUCCAGAAGGAAUGCAGCAUUGCUGACACGGUGAUUUUAGUCUUGUAACACUCAUCUCAAACUUCUGACUUCCAGAACUCUACCAGAAUACGUUUGUGUUGUUUUAAGCCACCAAACUUGUGGCAAUUUGUUACAGCAGCAAGACGAAAGUGAUCAUAAUGAUUGUAACAGUGGCAUUUAGUAUAUGUGGGGCAUGUGUAUGACUCUUUGCAUAGAUUAUAUUAUAUAAUCCUUGCAAGAAUCCUAGAAGCGGACCUAUUAUCCACCAUAUUAGAGAGAAGAAAAAUGAGACUCAUCACAUCCUCAUCUCAUCUGUCUUUAUGGAGAAAAUGGGAAAAGGGAAAAGGAGAGGGGAAUUGAGGCAGUUGACUGUGUUCAGUCUUAUUUAUUUAUUUUCAUUUGUUUAUUUCUCCAAGUCCGCCAGUCUCUGAAAUUAGAACAGUAAGCAAUAUGAGAUAAUCGGGCCUAAUAAUGUUGUGAUUCUCUUUUCUUAAUGGAGUGGAAUGUUCUGUCCCCACAAGAAGGAUUAUACCUUAUAGACUUGUCUUGUUCAGAUUCUGUAUUUACCCAUUUUACUGAAACACAUACUAAAUUCCAUGUGUUUUUGUUACAAAUCUUCUGAAAGAAAAUGUGAAACAUUAAAAGGUAUUAAUAAUAAUUUUUUUUAAAAGGAAAAAAAAUGAGGCUCAGUUGCUUAAAUGGCAUGCCAGGGGUCAUUUCCCAGCUAGCAAGUGAAGGAGCCUUCAGUUAAAAAAUAACUCAAAGACAUUGAGUUAAUUAUUGGCGUGUUAUUUACUUGUAACUAGUGGAACCAGUAUAGACUGACUUCAUCUCAGAAAGCGAGGAAAGGAUUUAUAUAGAAGAAACACAGCUUCUAAACUAUGAAUGUUGGUUUUUUUGCCUAGCUGGACCCUGGCAAUGAAGCCAGUGAGUGUUCUGAUCCUGGAAAGCUAGAAAGAAAGUAAUUCUAGUUGCACGUGAAUGUCCCUGAAGACCAUGAGAAUUUAGCUUCCUCUGCACGAUGCCUGUCAGGGUCCUUGGUUGUCAUCUCCAUCUUAGCGAUGCAGGUUUGCACCCUCACCCUUGUCAGAAAUUCUCCCUAGAGUGGCAUCCAGCUGAUUGUAACCACCUCCCAAGCCACUUAAAUGACCAGGAGCAAGCUAGUGAGUCCCCUUUAUUCCCAGGCUCACUCAUUUUGCAGGCUGCAAAAGCACAAAAUAACUUAAUCUUGCAUUGACCAGAAUGCUCCCCUGUCAUACAAAUGAUUUUUCACAUAUCCCCCCAUUUCCUCAAACUCUCUCCUCUUUGUUUAUGUGUUCCAAGCAUCUGGGUCUAUCUGGAAUUGCCUUCCUCUACCAAGUACAAAAGUUGAAGCCCAGCCCAGUAUGUUCUUUACUCAGUCACCCUCUAAAUACAUGGACCUGGGUUUGUUCUGGAAGAAAGGGAGGGCAGGGACAUCCUAGUCUGGUGAAAAGAGCACAGGAUUUCCUCCGAGGCCGCUAGCACUCCGUUCCAGCUACGUUCCUUUAGUUAGUUUGGCAGCUCCCAUCUCCCCUCUGAGCCUCGGUUCUUUUACCCAGUUGGGCACACAGGAUGUUUGAGAUAAAGAGUGUAAGAAUGGUUUGCAAACUGAAAAUGCUGUGCCUGCAUCACUUGCAGGAUAGUUCUGCUCAGUGCCAGUUUUCUCACAGCAGAAGGCGUGUGCGUACCAACAGUCUGUGUUAUGACACUGCAUAUUUUGCAGUGUUUUGACCUCCGGUUUGUCCUUACCCCUGUUGAGUCCCAAGAGAGUGGGACUGGGUGGGAGAUUGAUUAUCUUCUUCCUUCUUAUAUCUUACUAGAUUUUAAUUAUCUAUGAAGUCUUUUAGGUGCUUUAAAUAAAGGGGGAGAGAGGAAAUCUUCUGAAGCAGAUGACAAUUAUUUCCCCCAAGCACAGCCACCAAGCCAUGCUCUUAUUUUGAAUGAUCUGCGUCAUUUUCCAACAUGAAGCCUCAGAAGGACAUGAUUACAGGCUGGACUCACCGACUGUAGCCUGUGCAGCUAUUGUAAUGUUUUAAUCAGUGAUUAAGUCAAGAGGUUUAAUUUAGUACCGGGCUCCGUUAAGCUUGUGAAAAUGGUUUUCUGCCUCCUCAAACUAAAAAUGUGUCUCUCCCCCAUGUGUCCAGCCCGAAGCAUCUUAACCUUUGUUCUAUCUUCAACACCGCUGGCUCUAACAAAUUACUCAGCAGUGAAUGAAUUAGCUGAGUCCAAUGUGUGAAAAAAGAUUAGGCUGGACCUAGGAAAAUUAGCUUCUAAGCACAGCACAGGAUGAGGCAUAAAGAUACCUGGACUCGUGCCCUGCAUGACAAAGAAGCUAAGCUUCAUUAGCGUCAGUCAUGACAUCCGUCAUUGGCAUUAUCUCAUUGAAUCCCUGCGACAACCUCAGGGGCAGAUGCUAUUAUUAUUCGCAUUUUGUAGAUGAAGAAAACUGAGACCCAGAGAAGGUAAAUAACUUGUCCAUGGUCACACAGGCAGUCUUGGUCCCAGGAUUUGAGUUGAGGCAGCCUAGCUCUGGGAUCCCCACACUGUCCUUCCUCCCUCGCUGGAUCUGAGACUACGUUAGCUUUGCAUUCAUUCAUUGAUUAACUCUGUUGGGGAAAGGGGACAUUUUAGGGAGCUACCCCAGAAUAGUUCUGCAGGAGGGACCUGUCUUUAGGUCAUUGCAAGCAGAGAUGACUAAGGAGGUGAGUGCCAGGAGUCCUGACCAUGCAAGCUAGAACUGGACAAGCAUCAUUUGGUAUCACGGAGAGCCCAGCCGAGCUUGCAAAUCUGGAGUAACAGGAUGGCCUAUGGGGCUUUUUCUGCAGCCUGGGGAAUUGGUGCCUGAGGCCAUGGCUAAAAAAAAAAAUGAGAGUUGCUAAAAACUACAGCCUCAAACUCUUAAUGGGGGCCCAAGUGCUGCCCCCCAGCUUCAACCCAAUGGCUUACUAUGAACAGGAGAAGAUGCUUUAUAGUGCUCAAAUCCACCCGACCCCACUGGAUUUAGAGAGGCAGCAGGGAAGUGGUAGAGGGAGCUGUCCACAUUAUGAGAUGUUGGCCUCAUAGAGAGGGACGGGAGGGACAUUUCUCUAAACUCCUAAAGCCAAGUGAGGGGCUCCAAAGAUGAGGAACAGAGUUCAAAUCAGAGAUCUGGCAAUGUCAUGGUGGGGAGUCUUGAAGGUGACCCAGCUGAACCCAAGAAGUAGGAAAAAGCAGAGAAAAGCCACAGCAAGAAGUAGGGAAAAGCAGAGAAAUGCCACAGUAAGAAGUAGAGAAAGCAGAGAAACAUCACAACUAGAAGCAGCCCAGGUCCCCGACCCUUCUUGUUGGCCCUGCGUUAGUUUCCUAGGGCCACCAUAACAAAAUGUCACAGACUAGAUGGCUUGAAACAAUAGAAAUUUAUUGUCUCACAGUUCCAGAGACUGGAAGCCCUAAAUCAAGGCAUCGCAAGGCCAGGUUCCCUCUGAAACCUGUAGGGGGAAUCCUUCCUUUCCUCCUCCCAGCCCCUGAUAGUGAGUGGCAGUCCUUGGCUUUCCUUGGCUUCUAGAUGUGUCCCUCCAGCCCUGUCUUCACGUGGCCUUCUCCCUGUGCCUGUCUUCACAUGGCCGUCUUCUUACAAGGACACCGGUUAUAUGAGGUUAGGGGCCCACUGUACUCCAAUGUGACCUCAUCUUAACUGAUUGCAUCUGUAACAACCCUAUUUCCAAAUAAGGCCACAUUCUGAGGUACUGAGGGAUAGGACUUCAACAGAUCUUCUUUUAGGGCGGGGUGCAGUUCAACCCAGAACAGGCCCUCCGUGUCAGUCUUGAAAAAGGCCAGCAGAGACCCUCAGUACUAAUGGGAGAGGAGACCUGAGACCCGUCCCAGAGAGCCGGGGUUUAUAAACUGGCUGAGAAAGGGACUGCCAGAGGGGUCAUGAAGGAAUGACAGUGGUGGGGGGCCAGAGGGGCUGCCUGAAGUGGAGAUGGGACAGAACAGAACUGCUCUGUGUGCACGCCCUGUCCAGGCCUAGCUGCUGGGGAGCUGGCUGCCCUUUCCUGCCAGUGAGGCCAGUCAGUGGGGUGCAGCAACCCUCACCCCCCACAGCAGGAAGGAGGAAACAAACUUUGGUUGGAACCACGGCGGGGCGCAGGCAGGAACUAAAGAGUGAAAAGGAGAGCACUCACAUUUGGGGAGGCACACAGAGAAGACCUUCUUGUCUUGCAGGGCUCUGGGGAGCAGAGCUAUCUGGGUGGAGUAUGGCCAGAUGUCAGCAGCACCCAGGCCAGCAGGCUCACAUGGCUGAAGGAGUCAGGAUAGGAUGGAGGCCAGAGAACAUGGAAGUGGGGCGCCCACAUCUCCUGGUGCUUCACAGGCCACUUAUAGGGACUUGGCGUUUACUCUGUGUGAAGUGGGAGCCGUGGAGGACACUGAGCAGAAGAGGUCUGUGGCCCAACUUAGGGCUUCAUGGGAUCCCUGUGGCUGCCAGAUUCAGAAGAGACCAUUUUAGCCAGAACAGUUCCCUAUCUGCAUACUUCCCAUGGACACACAGCAAGGGAGGCGACCAUGUACCUCUGUUUUAAGGACAGGUGUAUGCCUAAGAGACCAGACAGAACAUGCUUUAUGUCCACUAGCUGUGAGCCUUCAGAUAGCAGCCACUGUGUGCCAGGGACUCUGGUAAGUAUGUUAUGUAUUUUUUUCUUUGAAUAAACUUUACAAAAAUUUCAAACACCUUUAUACAUACAGAAAAGUUGCAAAGAUAGUGCAGAGUUCCCACGCACCCCACACCGUUUCCUGUGUUGCUAACGUCUUACUUUUCUUCAUCGUCCAUUCAUCACAACUAAGAAACCAAUCUUGAUACAUGCUGUUCAUUAAACUCCACCCUUUACUGGAUGUCACCAGUUUUCCCCAAUGUUGUUCUCCAGACCAAGGUCCCAUACGGGACACCACAUUGAAUUUAACUGUCACAUCUCCUUAGUCUCCUCUGGUCAGUAACAAAUUCUCAGACUUCCCUUGUUUCUGAUGACCUCAAUCGUUUUAAACAAUAUAGAUCAGGUAUCUUAUAGAAUAUGGCUCAGUGUGGAUGUAUGUGAUAUUUUUCUCAGAGUUUGCAUGGGAUCAUGAGUUUUGGGGAGGAACACCGCAGAGGUGAAGUGGCAUCUUCAUCGCAUCAUAUCAGGGGUAUGUGCUGUUGAAAUGACUUCACGGAUAGUAACCUUGGUCACCUGGCUCGAGGUAGUGUCUGCCAGGUUUCUCCACUGUAAAGUCACUUUUCCCCACUUUCCUUAUCUACUCUUUGGAAGCAAGUCACCUAGAUCAGCCCACUCUCAAGAGGCACUGUAAAUAGUUUUUAAAAUUUUAUUUUUAAUUGACAAAUAAUUGUACAUAUUUAUGGGGUACAAGUGAUGUUUUGAUAGAUGUUGACAAUGUGGAAUGAUUAAACUGGGCUAAUUAACAAA